UUAAAAUGAUGCAUCCAGUUCUGCUUCUGUUUAAAAAAAAAGCUGAAGACAACAUUAUACCAAAUCUAUUCUGAUUG
rnacentral:snoRNA from 1 species